AGUGAACGCUGGCGGUAGGCCUAACACAUGCAAGUCGAACGGCAGCACAGUAAGAGCUUGCUCUUACGGGUGGCGAGUGGCGGACGGGUGAGGAAUACAUCGGACUCUACUUUUUCGUGGGGGAUAACGUAGGGAAACUUACGCUAAUACCGCAUACGACCUACGGGUGAAAGCAGGGGAUCUUCGGACCUUGCGCGAUUGAAUGAGCCGAUGUCGGAUUAGCUAGUUGGCGGGGUAAAGGCCCACCAAGCCGACGAUCCGUAGCUGGUCUGAGAGGAUGAUCAGCCACACUGGAACUGAGACACGGUCCAGACUCCUACGGGAGGCAGCAGUGGGGAAUAUUGGACAAUGGGCGCAAGCCUGAUCCAGCCAUACCGCGUGUGUGAAGAAGGCCUUCGGGUUGUAAAGCCCUUUUGUUGGGGAAGAAAAGCAGCAGGUUAAUACCCCGCUGUUCUGACGGUACCCAAAGAAUAAGCACCGGCUAACUUCGUG
rnacentral:rRNA from 1 species